GGGGGCUGUUCCUCCCCAGGUACAGGAUAUUGCUCUACCCUUGUAGAACUCUAUGGUGUUCCUGUCAGCCCACUUCUCCAGCCUGUCGAGGUUCCUCUGGAUGGCACCACAGUCCUCUGCGUGUCUGGUCCCCGCCGGGCAAGGGCUGGGAGUGAGGCCAGGGCGGGCUGGGGGUGCGGGCCCGGGAGGGUCCUACGAGGGGACGUUGUGGACGCACAGGCCGGAACCGGCGCUGGCCCCCGCUGCGCCUGGUCGAGACUUGGACCCCUUGGGCAGGGCUGGGCAGGGCGAGAAGGCGGGACAGCGCCGGAGCCGCGCUGGCAGCCCAGGGCCAGGAGCCUUGGUGUGCCGGGGCGCCGCGCUCCUCCUGUGGCGCCGGCCCUGCCCCGCGUCCCUGCCCGCGCCCGCCCUUCUCCUGGCCCCAAGGCGCCGCGGCAGCGGGGGGCCGGGCCGGGCCGGGGCGGGUGUGUUGGGGGCGGGCAGAGGCGUGGUCGCUGCCCCGGCGAGGGCCCGAGGCGUCGGGGCGGGCAGGAGCGGGCUGGUGUGCGGCUCCGCUGGGCUGGUGUGCGGCUCUUGCAGGGCCCGAUGGCGGCCGGGCUGGGGCCGUGGCUCCUGGCCCUGGCCUUGGCCUUGUGUCGGGCAGGGGUGUGGGCGCAGCUGAGGCUGGUGGAGGCCGGCGGAGGGCUGCGAGCGCCCGGGGACUCCGUGCUCCUCACCUGCCGCGGAUCCGACUUCAAUUUCGGGAACUAUAUCCUUUUGUGGUACCGUGAGGCUCCCGGUAGCAGACCCGUGUGGUUGUCCUUCAUCAGCAGCCUCUCUGGUGUUAUAAAGCAUUAUGCGGCAGAGGUGCAGGGUCGAGCCACAGUGUCCCGGAACAAUUCCCAGUCCGAGUCAUCCCUGUCCCUGCACGCCCUGCGCCUGCAGGACUCUGCCCGCUACUUUUGUGCUGUUCACACAGAGACAGGAAAUCCAUCUGAGCUUUAACAGAAACCUCCUGGCAGGGUCCCAGCUCAGGGUCCCAGCCCAGGGAUGUUGUGGAGUAGACGAAGCCAUUGCUUGAUCUGUUCCUGCCUCUUCCUCUUUGUCUCCUGGCCCUUUCUCAGAUGUUAAUACUUCUGGCCUGAUGGCAAGAAAGGUCACGCUUACCAGGUGAAAUGUCCUGGGUUUAGUGACACUUACUUUUCUUCUAUUUCGGGGAAAACUGUACUUUUAGAAGACUCUAGUGUCUGAAUUAAUGAAAAUAUUAAAGCCAUCCAGGCUCUGUGGGAUUCAAGGUCUCAGUGUUUUUGAGCCUUGCCAGGUGCAGGGACAGGGAGCAGCGAGGCCUGGGCAUUUGACCCAGACUGACCAACAUGAUUAUUUCAUACCAUAAUCAUCACAUUCAAUAUAAAUUAGAAAAGUUGGCUGCGUAGUUCUCACUCCCUUGAUGGCAGCGGUCCAGAGAACUCUUUGCCUUGGUGCCAGACCCCUGACGCCUUCCUUUCCUUUCCAUUGCGAUUGCAGUGUCAGACUUUUGCUGGCCACUGCUGGGAGUGCACAGCUUCCUACUGAUACAAUUGGCUGAGCAUAAUUCUUGUAUAUCAGAUAUCUUAUAUCAGUAUUGAAUAGAAUAAUUGUCUAAAUGACAAUAAAUUGUUAUGGGAUUUCUCAAACCAUAACACUGGCACAGAUCCGAGUGUCCCAGGGCACCUUGGGUUCCCCUGGCCCUGCAUCCCCCUUCUUGUUUUCCCAGACUCAAACUUUCGGUUUGAAUGGGUUGCUCUACCCUCUGCGGCUCCUUUUUCCACCACUCUUCCUGGAUCUCCUGCCAGGGAGCCUUGUUGGAGCACCCAUGAAAAGAGAAGGGAGGGGAAGGAUUUUGACAGUGUGUGGAGGGGCAGUGUAGAUGGCCAUUGUGGAGUGGCUCAUGUUCCCCAAACAUGGCGGUACCCAUCAAAAUGGUAACACUGUGUCAGGGCUCCAGAUAUGUCUCAUCAUGUGGCUGGUGCUAGGGGAAGCUCUGGCUUCCUUCUGUGUAGGAUGAGAAUGGAGAAGGCCAUUUCCCUG